rnacentral:rRNA from 1 species
UACGUAGGGUGCGAGCGUUGUCCGGAAUUAUUGGGCGUAAAGGGCUCGUAAGCGGUUUGUCGCGUCGGGAGUGAAAACUCAGGGCUUAACCCUGAGCCUGCUUCCGAUACGGGCAGACUAGAGGUAUGCAGGGGAGAACGGAAUUCCUGGUGUAGCGGUGAAAUGCGCAGAUAUCAGGAAGAACACCAAUGGCGAAAGCAGCUCUCUGGGACGGUACUGACGCUGAGACGCGAAAGCGUGGGGAGCGAACAGG